AUGAACGCUGGCGGCGUGCCUAAUACAUGCAAGUCGAGCGAACGGACGAGAAGCUUGCUUCUCUGAUGUUAGCGGCGGACGGGUGAGUAACACGUGGAUAACCUACCUAUAAGACUGGGAUAACUUCGGGAAACCGGAGCUAAUACCGGAUGAUAUUUUGAACCGCAUGGUUCAAAAGUGAAAGACGGUCUUGCUGUCACUUAUAGAUGGAUCCGCGCUGCAUUAGCUAGUUGGUAAGGUAACGGCUUACCAAGGCAACGAUGCAUAGCCGACCUGAGAGGGUGAUCGGCCACACUGGAACUGAGACACGGUCCAGACUCCUACGGGAGGCAGCAGUAGGGAAUCUUCCGCAAUGGGCGAAAGCCUGACGGAGCAACGCCGCGUGAGUGAUGAAGGUCUUCGGAUCGUAAAACUCUGUUAUUAGGUAAGAACAUAUGUGUAAGUAACUGUGCACAUCUUGACGGUACCUAAUCAGAAAGCCACGGCUAACUACGUG
rnacentral:rRNA from 1 species